rnacentral:rRNA from 1 species
CAGCAGCCGCGGGAAUACAGAGGCCUCAAGCGUUGUUCGGAUUCAUUGGGCGUAAAGGGUGCGUAGGUGGCUUGGUAAGUUGAAGGUGAAAUCUCGGGGCUUAACCCCGAAACUGCCUUCAAUACUGCUAGGCUCGAGGACUGUAGAGGAGAAUGGAAUUCACGGUGUAGCAGUGAAAUGCGUAGAUAUCGUGAGGAAGACCAGUGGCGAAGGCGAUUCUCUGGGCAGUUCCUGACACUGAGGCACGAAGGCCAGGGGAGCAAACGGGAUUAGAUACCCGCGUAGUCCCUGUCUCUUAUAC